AUCGCUUCUCGGCCUUUUGGCUAAGAUCAAGUGUAGGAUUAUAAGGAAUCAAAUUCAGGAAGCAGUUUAACUCUUAGUCCUUGGAAUUUGCUUUUGCUUCUGUUUUGGUGCUAGGGGGAUUCCACCCCCUCAUAGCUCUUUUUCUGCAUCUUUCUAUAUAGUUAGUGAGAUAUUGGAAGAGGUCACA